rnacentral:lncRNA from 1 species
GUUUUUAUUUUCUUAAUCAUUCGGCCGUGCAGGCCGAGACUUAAGAAAAUAAGAGGGGCAACGUGCAGUACGAACAUUACCAAUGUGAUGGCCGAGAAUUGAUGGUAAACCAAGCGGCCGAGAAUCAAAUUUUUCUUGGUCUCGUUUUCUUUGGCCAAUUCGACCAAAUGGAGUGGGCAGCCUAAAGGUGCUACGACCAUUUUUCGUCUCGGACAAGAACCUUUUCAUCAUCAAGUGGUUCCACUAGGUGGCAUUUGUCAGGAGGAAAAAAAAAAUAUAUAUAUAUAUAUAUGCUUGGUGCAGUAUGCAAUUUGUUUGAAAUAUCAAGCCAGCGAGCCAUUAUAACCCCAGUGUUAAAGCCAGUCUACAAUCCGGAUAUAUAUGCGGCACCUUUUCUUCUCAGUAGUGGCAACCUGAAACAAUAUAUAUAUAUGCCAACUGCAUGUACAGCAGCGUCACAGAUUGAGACAAGGGGGUCUGUUGAAAAAAAAUAAAAUAAAAUAUCCAGACACAUGCAAGCCAAGGUCAACAAGUGGAGUAUCGUCGACUCGGCCAAUACGUCAAGUGCUUUAGUCCGAGCUCAGGUGCCCUCGGCCAUGUGGUUUUUUUUUUCCAUUCGGCCAUUAGACCACGACAUCUUCGUCUUAUCGAUUCGCAGCCUAUUUUCUCGUUUAAGAUGCUACAUGAUCAUAUAGUCUCGGCUGUUGUUCAUCUUGGUAUGACCAAACAUGUUCCCUGGCCGAUGACGUUCCUCGGCCACUUUUACAUGUGACUCUCUGAUGUUUUCGGCCCCAUAUAUAUAGAUAAGCAGCCUUCAUUUUCAAUGAAUGGUUCCAAGACAAAAAAUGGCCACAAUUUUUGGGAAGCCAGUUCAAAAAGACAUGUUCCAGUAGCCAUGACUUUUGGGUGGUAGGCCCCUAGCCUAAUAUUAUUUAGUCAAAAGUCUUUGAAUGGGGUCAUUCGACAGUAAAGUGGAGACAUUAUUAAUGGCAGUUCUUCGACUGGUGAAUUCGGCCGAUGCACGUAUUCGGCCAGUUGUUGAUGUGACUUCGAUUUGAUGUGGAGAUAAUUUGUGAUUUAUUAGUUCUUGGCGAUUAUAGAAG